rnacentral:rRNA from 1 species
AGAGUUUGAUCAUGGCUCAGGAUGAACGCUAGCUACAGGCUUAGCACAUGCAAGUCGAGGGGAAACGACAUCGAAAGCUUGCUUUUGAUGGGCGUCGACCGGCGCACGGGUGAGUAACGCGUAUCCAACCUGCCCACCACUUGGGGAUAACCUUGCGAAAGUAAGACUAAUACCCAAUGAUAUCUCUAGAAGACAUCUGAAAGAGAUUAAAGAUUUAUCGGUGAUGGAUGGGGAUGCGUCUGAUUAGCUUGUUGGCGGGGUAACGCCACCAAGGCUACGAUCAGUAGGGGUUCUGAGAGGAAGGUCCCCCANAUUGGAACUGAGACACGGUCCAAACUCCUACGGGAGGCA